rnacentral:misc_RNA from 1 species
GAGAGAGAGAGAAGGAGAGAAGAAAAAUAUCUAAAUUACAUAGGUAUUUGUAAACUAAUAAGUAACCCUAUUACUACUAGGAUUAUGAAUUCCAAAAUAGGAAAACACCAAGUCAAUACUAGUAAAAUUCUAAAUGUACUAUAACUUGUUAAAUAUUCCUAAUAAUAAUAGAAUUCCCAAAUAAAACCCUAAACUUCAUAAUUGUACUAAAAAUCUGAAUUAAAGAUCUUAAU